AGAGUUUUAAGUUAAAAGAAACUGUAAGUUUUCAAGACUUAUAAUAAAUAAUAUUAUUUAAACUUUG
rnacentral:tRNA from 1 species